rnacentral:lncRNA from 1 species
UCGGUUUCUUGGUUCCGUCCCAAAACGCCGAAGAAAGGCACAAUGGCCUAGAAAGGGAUAGUCGGACUUGGAACGGGGUCCGAGGCCUCGAAAGUCCACAUCUAGCUACUGGGUGGUCCGAUUCUGAGUGAUCUCGAACUUUCUUGUCCACAAAAGCCGAACGGUGACGCCCCAGACUCGGUUUCUUGGUUCCGUCCCAAAACGCCGAAGAAAGGCACAAUGGCCUAGAAAGGGACGGUCGGACUUGGAACGGGGUCCGAGGCCUCGAAAGUCCACAUCAAGCUACUGGGUGGUCCGAUUCUGAGUGAUCUCGAAGUUUCUAGCCACAAAAGCCGAACGGUGACGCCCCAGACUCGGUUUUUUGGUUCCGUCCCAAAACGCCGAAGAAAGGCACAAUGGCCUAGAAAGGGACGGUCGGACAUGGAACGGGGUCCGAGGCGUCGAAAGUCCACAUCUAGCUACUGGGUGGUCCGAUUCCGAGUGAUCUCGAAGUUUCUUGCCCACAAAAGCCGAACGGUGCGCCCCAGACUCGGUUUCUUGGUUCCGUCCCGAAACGCCGAAGAAAGGCACAAUGGCCUCGAAAGGGACGGUCGGACUUGGAACGGGGUCUGAGGCCUCGAAAGUCCACAUCUAGCUACUUGGUGGUCCGAUUCUGAGUGAUCUCGAAGUUUCUUGCCCAGAAAAGCCGAACGGUGUCGCCCUAGACUCGGUUUCUUGGUUCCGUCCCAAAACGCCGAAGAAAGGCACAAUGGCCCAGUAAGGGACGGUCGGACUAGGAACGGGGUCCGAGGCCUCGAAAGUCCACAUCUAGCUACUGGGUGGUCCGAUUCUGAGUGAUCUCGAAGUUUCUUGCCCACAAAAGCCGAACGGUGACGCCCCAGACUCGGUUUCUUGGUUUUGUCCCAUAACGCCGAAGAAAGGCACAGUGGCCUAGAAAGGGACGGUCGGACUUGGAACGGGGUCCUAGGCCUCGAAAGUCCACAUCUAGCUACUUGAUGGUCCGAUUCUGAGUGAUCUCGAAGUUUCUUGGCCACAAAAGCCGAACGGUGACGCCCCAGACUCGGUUUCUUGGUUCCGUACCAAAACGCCGAAGAAAGGCACAGUGGCCUAGAAAGGGACGGUCGGACUUGGAACGGGGUCCGAGGCCUCGAAAGUCCACAUCUAGCUACUGGGUGGUCCGAUUCUGAGUUAUCUCGAAGUUUCUUGCGCACAAAAACCAAACGGUGACGCCCCAGACUCGGUUUCUUGGUUCCUUCCGAAAACGCCGAAGAAAGACACAAUGGCCUAGAAAGGGACGGUCGGACUUGGAACGCAGUCCGGGGCCUCGAAAGUCCACAUCUAGCUACUGGGUGGUCCGAUUCUGAGUGAUCUCGAAGUUUCUUGCCCACAAAAGCCGAACGGUGUCGCCCCAGACUCGGUUUCUUGGUUCCGUCCCAAAACGUCGAAGAAAGGCACAUUGGCCUAGAAAGGGACGGUCGGACUUGGAACGGUGUCCGAGGCCUCGAAAGUCCACAUCUAGCUACUCCGUGGUCCGAUUCUGAGUGAUCUCGAAGUUUCUUGCCCACAAAAGGCGAACGGUGACGCCCCAGACUCGGUUUCUUGGUUCCGUCCAAAAACGCCGAAGAAAGGGACAAUGGCCUAGAAAGGGACGGUCGGACUUGGAACGCGGUCCGAGGCCUCGAAAGUCCACAUCUAACUACCGGGUGGUCCGAUUCUGAGUGAUCUCGAAGUUUCUUGCCCACAAAAGCUGAACGGUGACGCCCCAAACUCGGUUUCUUGGUUCCGUCCCAAAACGCCGAAGAAAGGCACAAUUUCCUAGAAAGGGACGAUCGGACUUGGAACGGGUCCGAGGCCUCGAAAGUCCACAUCUAGCUACUGGGUGGUCCGAUUCUGAGUGAUCUCGAAGUUUCUUGCCCACAAAAGCCGAACGGUGACGCCCCAGACUCGGUUUCUUGGUUCCGUCCCAAAACGCUGAAGAAAGGCACAAUGGCCUAGAAAGGGACGGUCGGACUUGGAACGAGGUCCGAGGCCUCGAAAGUACACAUGUAGCUACUGGGUGGUCUGAUUCUUAGUGACCUUGAAGUUUCUUAACCACAAAAGCCGAACGGUGACGCCCCAGACUCGGUUUCUUGGUUCCCUCCCAAAACGCCGAAGAAAGGCACAAUGGCCUAGAAAGGGACGGUCGGACUUGGAACGGGGUCCGAAGCCUCGAAAGUCCACAUGUAGCUACUGGGUGGUCCGAUUCUUUGUGAUCUCGAAGUUUCUUGACCACAAAAGCCGAACGGUGACGCCCAGACUCGGUUUCUUGGUUCCGUCCCAAAACGCCGAAGAAAAGCACAAUGGCCUAGAAAGGGACGGUCGGACUUGGAACGGGGUCCGAGGCCUCGAAAGUCCACAUCUAGCUACUGGGUGGUCUGAUUCUUUGUGAUCUCGAAGUUUCUUGCCCACAAAAGCCGAACGGUGACGCCCAGACUCGGUUUCUUAGUUCCGUCCCAAAACGCCGAAGAAAGGCACAAUUUCCUAGAAAGGGACGGUCGGACUUGGAACGGGGUCCGAGGCCUCGAAAGUCCAUAUCUAGCUACUGGGUGGUCCGAUUCUGAGUGAUCUCGAAGUUUCUUGCCCACAAAAGCCGAACGGUGACGCCCGAGACUCGGUUUCUUGGUUCCGUCCCAAAACGCCGAAGAAAAGCACAAUGGCCUAGAAAGGGACGGUCGGACUUGGAACGGGGUCCGAGGCCUCGAAAGUCCACAUCUAGCUACUGGGUGGUCUGAUUCUUUGUGAUCUCGAAGUUUCUUGCCCACAAAAGCCGAACGGUGACGCCCCAGACUCGGUUUCUUGGUUCCGUCCCAAAACGCCGAAGAAAGGCACAAUGGACUAGAAAGAGACGGUCGGACUUGGAACGGGGUCCGAGGCCUCAAAAGUCCACAUCUAGCUACUGGGUGGUCCGAUUCUUUGUGAUCUCGAAGUUUCUUGCCCACAAAAGCCGAACGGUGACGCCCCAGACUCGGUUUCUUGGUUCCGUCACAAAACGCCGAAGAAAGGCACAAUGGCCUAGAAAGGGACGGUCGGACUUGGAACGGGGUCCGAGGCCUCGAAAGUCCACAUCUAGCUACUGGGUGGUCCGAUUCUUUGUGAUCUCGAAGUUUCUUGCCCACAAAAGCCGAACGGUGACGCCCCAGACUCGGUUUCUUGGUUCCAUCCCAAAACGCGGAAGAAAGGCACAAUGGCCUAGAAAGGGACGGUCGGACUUGGAACGGGGUCCGUUGCCUCGAAAGUCCACAUCUAGCUACUGGGUGGUCCGAUUCUGAGUGAUCUCGAAGUUUCUUGCCCACAAAAGCCGAACGGUGACGCCUAGACUCGGUUUCUUGGUUUCGUCCCAAAACGCCGAAGAAAGGCACAGUGGCCUAGAAAGGGACGGUCGGACUUGGAACGGGGUCUGAGGCCUCGAAAGUCCACAUCUAGCUACUGGGUGGUCCGAUUCUUUGUGAUCUCGAAGUUUCUUGCCCACAAAAGCCGAACGGUGACGCCCAGACUCGGUUUCUUGGUUCCGUCCCAAAACGCCGAAAAAAGGCACAAUGGCCUAGAAAGGGACGGUCGGACUUGGAACGGGGUCCGAGGCCUCGAAAGUCCACAUCUAGCUACUGGUGGUCCGAUUCUUUGUGAUCUGGAAGUUUCUUGCCCACAAAAGCCGAACGGUGAUGCCCGAGACUCGGUUUCUUGGUUCCGUCCCAAAACGCCGAAGAAAGGCACAAUGGCCUAGAAAUGGACGGUCCGACUCGGAACGGGGUCCGAGGCCUCGAAAGUCCACAUCUAGCUACUGGGUGGUUCGAUUCAGAGUGAUCUCGAAGUUUCUUGCUCACAAAAGCCGAACGGUGACACCCCAGACUCGGUUUCUUGGUUCCGUCCCAAAACGCCGAAGAAAGGCACAAUGGCCUAGAAAGGGACGAUCGGACUUGGAACGGGGUCCGAGGCCUCGAUAGUCCACAUCUAGCUACUAGGUGGUCCGAUUCUUUGUGAUCUUGAAGUUUCUUGCCCACAAAAGCCGAACGGUGACGCCCCAGACUCGGUUUCUUGGUUUCGUCCCAAAACGCCGAAGAAAGGCACAAUGGCCUAGAAAGGGACGGUCGGACUUGGAACGGGGUCCGAGGCCUCGAAAGUCCACAUCUAGCUACUGGGUGGUCCGAUUCUUUGUGAUCUCGAAGUUUCUUGCACACAAAAGCCGAACGGUGACGCCCCAGACUCGGUUUCUUGGUUCCGUCCCAAAACGCCGAAGAAAGGCACAAUGGCCUAGAAAGGGACGGUCGGACUCGGAACGGGGUCCGAGGCCUCGAAAGUCCACAUCUAGCGACUGGGUGGUCCGAUUCAGAGUGAUCUCGAAGUUUCUUGCCCACAAAAGCCAAACGGUGACUCCCCAGACUCGGUUUCUUGGUUCCGUCCCAAAACGCCGAAGAAAGGCACAAUGGCUUAGAAAGGGACGGUCGGACUUGGAACGGGGUCCGAGGCCUCGAAAGUCCACAUCUAGCUACUGGGUGGUCCGAUUCUUUGUGAUCUCGAAGUUUCUUGCCCACAAAAGCCGAACGGUGACGCCCGAGACUCGGUUUCUUGGUUCCGUCCCAAAACGCCGAAGAAAGGCACAAUGGCCUAGAAAGGGACGGUCGGACUUGGAACGGGGUCCGAGGCCUCGAAAGUCCACAUCUAGCGACUGGGUGGUCCAAUUCAGAGUGAUCUCGAAGUUUCUUGCCCACAAAAGCCGAACGGUGACGCCCCAGACUCGGUUUCUUGGUUCCGUCCCAAAACGCCGAAGAAAGGCACAAUGGCCUAGAAAGGGACGGUUGGACUUGGAACGGGGUCCGAGGCCUCGAAAGUCCACAUCUAGCUACUAGGUGGUCCGAUUCUUUGUGAUCUUGAAGUUUCUUGCCCACAAAAGCCUAACGGUGACGCCCCAGACUCGGUUUCUUGGUUUCGUCCCAAAACGCCGAAGAAAGGCACAAUGGCCUAGAAAGGGACGGUCGGACUUGGAACGGGGUCCGAGGCCUCGAAAGUCCACAUCUAGCUACUGGGUGGUCCGAUUCUUUGUGAUCUCGAAGUUUCUUGCCCACAAAAGCCGAACGGUGACGCCCAGACUCGGUUUCUUGGUUCCGUCCCAAAACGCCGAAGAAAGGCACAAUGGCCUAGAAAGGGACGGUCGGACUCGGAACGAGGUCCGAGGACUCGAAAGUCCACAUCUAGCUACUGAGUGGUCCGAUUCUGAGUGAUCUCGAAGUUUCUUGCCCACAAAAGCCGAACGGUGACCCAUACUCGGUUUCUUGUUCCGUCCCAAAACGCCGAAGAAAGGCAAUGGCCUAGAAGGGACGGUCGGACUUGGAACGGGGUCCGAGGCCUCGAAAGUCCACAUCUAGCUACUGGGUGGUCCGAUUCUGAGUGACCUCGUAGUUUCUUGCCCACAAAAGCCGAACGAUGACACCUAGACUCGGUUUCUUGGUUCCGUCCCAAAACGCGGAAGAAAGGCACAAUGGCCUAGGAAGGGACGGUCGGACUUGGAACGGGGUCCGAGGCCUCGAAAGUCCACAUCUAGCUACUGGGUGGUCCGAUUCUUUGUGAUCUCGACGUUUCUUGCCCCAAAAGCCGAACGGUGACGCCCUCGACUCGGUUUCUUGGUUCCGUCAUAAAACGCCGAAGAAUAGCACAAUGGCCUAGAAAAGGGACGGUCGGACUUGGAACGGGGUCCGAGGCCUCGAAUGUCCACAUCUAGCUACUGGGUGGUCCGAUUCUUUUUUAUCUCGAAGUUUCUUGCCCACAAAAGCCGAACAGUGAUGCCCCAGACUCGGUUUCUUGGUUCCGUCCCAAAACGCCGAAGAAAGGCACAAUGGCCUAGAAAAGGGACGGUCGGACUUGGAACGGGUUCCGAGGCCUCGAAAGUCCACAUCUAGCUACUGGGUGGUCCGAUUCUUUGUGAUCUCGAAGUUUCUUGCACACAAAAGCCGAACGGUGACGCCCCAGACUCGGUUUCUUGGUUCCGUCCAAAAUGCCGAAGAAAGGCACAAUGGCCUAGAAAGGGACGGUCGGACUUGGAACGGGGUCCGAGGCCUCAAAAGUCCACAUCUAGCUACUGGGUGGUCCGAUUCUUUGUGAUCUCGAAGUUUCUUGCCCACAAAAGCCGAACGGUGAUGCCCCUGAUAGAACUAAGUCAUGCACAGCGGAAAAAGAAUCGAAUUUCUACCCUAAUUGCCACAAUUAACAUGUAACCAUAAACUAAUCAAAUAAGGGUUUUAAGAAGUAUUACCUUUGAAGCUUACAAAAGGUUUGAUGUCUUCUUACCAAUUCUACCCGAGACCACCACUAGUACUCAACUGCUAUCCUCUAGACAAAGAACCGGGUUGUGGGACCCAAUUUUGGUGUAGAAAGUAAUGGAGAUAAAAUGAGAUUGGAAGCUUUCUUUUUUCUUUUGUUGAGAUGAUGAAAAUGAUAAAAGAGGCAAAAGUCCUUCAACAUUUGAAAACACCUCUAUUUAUAGCCUAAUUACAUGCAAAAAUGCAUGCAAUUCAUUUGCCAAAUCUCAACACCUAAUGUUCCACUAACAAUUAGUGGAACUUAGUGGGCUAGGUGUCUAUAUCUCAUAUAGCCACAUAUCCCACUAAGAGUUAGUGGGAUUAUCCAACAAAAUGUUGGAUUUUCCCACUAACAUAGUCCAAGGGUAAAAUGGUCAUUAGAUUUUUCUAGUCAAAAGUCAAACUUUGACUUUUCUAAGUCAAAAGUCAAUAUUUUGACUUUUUACCAUUUUGUCCGUCUUGACUAAUUCCAACCUCCCGAGCAUGAAUCCGCAUUCAUUUUUCCAAAAUUCAAAUCACAUUUGAAUAUAAGGCCGGUCAAAGUUUGACUUUCAAAGUCAAAAGUCAACAUUUUGACUUUUUACUAUUUUUGACCAAUUCCGAGCUUCUUAGUAUGAAUCCGCAUUCAUACUUAUAGUAUGUAAAACAUAAAGCUCUAUUUCUAAUUAGAAGACCGACGAUUAUAUCACUGUAUAUGUUGGUUUUCCUUUCUUCUCCCAAUUCGAACAAUACGACUUAUUUCAUCACACUGUUCUAAGUUUAAUCCAUAUGAGCUAGCAGAGGAACCUAAUGGACCUAUAGAUCAUGGGCUCCAACGAUUCAAGAUUAACUAGCUAAACUCCUUUAAACCGAUUAAUCAACAUUCGUUAACUAACGGGUCAUUCCACUAAAGUCCCGUAGUUGCACUCCCCUCACUAUAUAUAUUUGUGUCCAUUUGAUAAAACCAUAAUCAGUAAGUUAAUCCUUCACAGGUUGCUCGUAACCUUGGCUGGGUCAAAAUACCGUUUUACCCCCAAGAUUACAUCUUGCUCCUUAAGUCCCACUAAUCCACUAUUGAACAAUUGGUUUAAGGUUCAACCUAUAAACUUAAUCCCUCUCGGGCCAAUGAGAGGGUGGGGCCCCUUGUUCAUGAUAGAACUAAGUCAUGCACAGCGGAAAAAGAAUCGAAUUUCUACCCUAAUUGCCACAAUUAACAUGUAACCAUAAACUAAUCAAAUUAGGGUUUUAAGAAGUAUUACCUUUGAAGCUUACAAAAGGUUUGAUGUCUUCUUACCAAUUCUACCCGAGACCACCACUAGUACUCAACUGCUAUCCUCUAGACAAAGAACCGGGUUGUGGGACCCAAUUUUGGUGUAGAAAGUAAUGGAGAUAAAAUGAGAUUGGAAGCUUUCUUUUUCUUUUGUUGAGAUUAUGAAAAUGAUAAAAGAGGCAAAAGUCCUUCAACAUUUGAAAACAUCUCUAUUUAUAGCCUAAUUACAUGCAAAAAUGCAUGCAAUUCAAUUGCCAAAUCUCAACACCUAAUAUUCCACUAACAAUUAGUGGAACUUAGUGGGCUAGGUGUCUAUAUCUCAUAUAGCCACAUAUCCCACUAAGAGUUAGUGGGAUUAUCCAACAAAAUGUUGGAUUUUCCCACUAACUUAGUCCAAGGGUAAAAUGGUCAUUAGAUUUUUCUAGUCAAAAGUCAAACUUUGACUUUUCUAAGUCAAAAGUCAAUAUUUUGACUUUUUACCAUUUUGUCCGUCUUGACUAAUUCCAACCUCCCGAGCAUGAAUCCGCAUUCAUUUUUCCAAAAUUCAAAUCACAUUUGAAUAUAAGGCCGGUCAAAGUUUGACUUUUCAAAGUCAAAAGUCAACAUUUUGACUUUUUACUAUUUUUGACCAAUUCCGAGCUUCUUAGUAUGAAUCCGCAUUCAUACUUAUAGUAUGUAAAACAUAAAGCUCUAUUUCUAAUUAGAAGACCGACGAUUAUAUCACUGUAUAUGUCGGUUUUCCUUUCUUCUCCCUAUUCGAACAAUUCGACUUAUUUCAUCACACUGUUCUAAGUUUAAUCCAUAUGAGCUAGCAGAGGAACCUAAUGGACCUAUAGAUCAUGGGCUCCAACGAUUCAAGAUUAACUAGCUAAACUCUUUUAAACCGAGUUAAUCAACAUUCGUUAACUAACGGGUCAUUCCACUAAAGUCCCGUAGUUGCACUCCCCUCACUAUAGAUAUAUUUGUGUCCAUUUGAUAAAACCAUAAUCAGUAAGUUAAUCCUUCACAGGUUGCUCGUAACCUUGGCUGGGUCAAAAUACCGUUUUACCCCCAAGAUUACAUCUUGCUCCUUAAGUCCCACUAAUCCACUAUUGAACAAUUGGUUUAAGGUUCAACCUAUAAACUUAAUCCCUCUCGGGCCAAUGAGAGGGUGGGGCCCCUUGUUCAAGACUUGGAUUCAGUGCUUAAGAGAGCAACCUAUCUACUAACCCUAAAGCGGGUAGGAGUGAAUUCCAUCUUGUACCCUAUGUUCCCAGCUAUCCACCCGAUCUUACCCCUGAAAUGGGAGGCUUAUUGGGCCAACGCUGAUGAGCUGCCCUCACCUAUGCAGAUCUAAGGAUAAUCUCGUAUGAACAGGAGUUCAUAGUUAACUCAGGAUUAAGACUAAGUUACCUAGGUCAUCAAUAAUUGAGAUAGUCAGUUUUAAACAGUAAACGGUGUUAUAACGUAAAAAUGACUAAUUCAUGGUUCAGUCUUAUGUAAACAUUUUACAUAGGAUGCCCCCACUUUCAUGUCUCUACAUGAACGAUUAGGAUCACAUCGUUUGUACUACAAAGUGGGCCGCAUCCAUAGUCUCUCAAAAUAAGGCGCCCAACCUUUAUUUCAUAUACUAUAGACUAUUUAGGCUAUAUACUCGAACUUGAUCCACGUUUAUGUUUACACAUAAAGUUCAAGUUUAUUCAAAAAAUAGCCUUGGAACUUUGAUUUAUUGGAUUUAAGAUUAUAAUAUUUAAUUUCUCAAUAACAACUUUAUUGAAUAGAAUAUGAUUUACAAACUACGAUUUAGGACAAAAAAUUCCAACAAACUCCCACUUGGACUAAAAUUCCUAGUGGUAUGAGAGAUGUGGUGUGAGAGAAUAUAUAUGAAACUAGGGCACAUGGCCAAUAAGUCUCCCACUUGUCCUAGUUUACAAACAUCGUACACCUAAACUGUGUAGGUGACCCUCAAACACUUUAGCCAUGAGGGCUUUUGUAAAAUGAUCAGCUUCCAUUGUGGAAUCAGCUAUACAAGUUUGCUUUAUGCUUCUCCAAACUACUGCUCCUCCAUUUAGAGUAAAUACUGAUCUGAUGUAGACUUUCUAACAUCUUUAUUAGUUUGGAAAUCUGAAUCAGUGUAUCCAGUAAGGAUCAGAUCCUUUGUACGAUACAUGAGCAUGUAGAAUGUUUUUAACGGCUGUCCAGUGAUCACGUCCAUGAUUGGAUUGAUACCUACUGACCAUCCCUACUGAGUAGCAAAUGUCAGGUCUAGUACAUAACAUUGCAUACAUUAAACUUCCAACAGCGGAAGCAUAGGGAAUAUUUCUCAUAUCCUCAACUUCUUGAGGUGUCUUAGGACAUUGUUCCUUUGACAAAUGAAUUCCAUAUCUGUACGGCAGCAGACCCUUUUUGGAAUUCUGCAUUUUAUAUCUAGACAACAUUUUGUCUAUGUAAGAUGCUUGAGACAUGGCUAGUGUUUUGUUCUUACGGUUUCGAACAAUUUGGAUUCCGAGAACGUAUUGUGCAUCUCCCAGAUCUUUCAUUUGAAAUUGCAUAGCUAGCCAUUUCUUGAUAUCAGGAAGAUAUCCUAGUCAUUUCCAAUAAGUAGAAUAUCAUCUACAUAUAAGACUAAAAAUGCUAUAAUGGAAUUGACGACCUUUUGUAAACACAAGGCUCGUCAACAUUUUGUUCAAAGCCAUAAGAUUUUGAUCGCAAUAUCAAAUCUUAUAUUCCAGGAUCUAGAAGCUUGUUUUAAUCCAUAAAUGGAUUUUUUAAGCUUACAAACCUUUUGUUCUUGAUCUUGUUUUAUAAACCCCUCUGGUUGAGACAUAUAGAUGCUCUCUUCAAGAUUACCGUUCAAAAAAGCUGUCUUGACAUCCAUCUGCCAAAUUUCAUAAUCAUAAAAAGUGGCGAUGGAUAAGAGUAUUCUAAUUGACUUUAACAUGGCAACGGGAGAGAAAGUUUCCUCUAGUCUACUCCCUCUCUCUAGGUAUAACCCUUUGCCACAAGUCGAGCCUUAAAAGUCUGUACUUUACCGGCAUGGUCUCGUUUUCUCUUGUAGAUCCAUUUACAACCAAUAGGUUUUACGUCAUUUGGUUGAUCUACUAGAGUCUAGAAAGAAUUAAAGUACAUAGACUCCAUUUCGAGGUCCAUGGCUUUGAUCCAUUGGUCACGAUCUACAUCUUUCAUUGCCUGUUUAUAGGUUAAUGGAUCCUCUAUGCCAUCGUCAGGUAUGACGACUUGAGUUUCAAUUAAACCCAAAUAGCGAUCAGGCUGAUGAACAACCCUCCCACUACGUCGAGGCUCUCUCAACUGUUGAGAAGGAUGUGAUUGACCAGAUUUCCUAGUCUUAUCAACUACUUUAGUGGAUGAACUAGGUUUUAUCUAUAGCACUUUUGGAAAUUUCUUUAAAUACUAGUUUACUACGAGGUUGAUGAUCCCUGAUGUGGUAUUUUAUUUUCUUGAGGAUCAUAAAACAAACCACCUCUUGAUUCUUUUGGAUAACCUAUAAAAAAGCAUAAUUUUGAACGAUGUUCCAAUUUCUUUGGAUUUUGUACCAACACAUGUGCUGGACAACCCCAAAUUUUAAAAUGACGUAAACUGCCUUUACGCCCUUUCCAUAGCUCAUAAGGUGUUUCUGAAACACUUUUAGAGGGAACAUUAUUCAAAAUAUAAGCAGCUGUUUCUAAAGCAUAUCCCCAAAAAGAAUCUGACAUCUGAGAAAAACUCAUCAUAGAGCGAACCAUGUCUAACAAGGUCCAGUUUCUUCUUUCUGAUACACCGUUCUGUUGAGGUGUACUAGGUGCAGAGAGUUGUGACUGGAUUCCAUUUUCUAUUAAAUAGUCUCGGAAUCGUAAGUCCAUAUACUCUCCACCUCGAUCUGAUCGAAGUAUUUUUAUUGUUUUACCUAAUUCGUUUUCUACUUCAGCCUUAUAUUCUUUGAACUUUUCAAGACUAUUAGACUUAUGAUGUAUUAGGUAAAUAUGACCAUACCUUGAAUAAUCAUCAAUGAAGCUAAUGAAAUAUUCAUAUCCACCUCGAGUUUUGACAUUCAUUGGUCCACAAAGGUCCGAAUGUACGAGCUCUAAGGGUCCUUUGGCUCUUAGACCUUUUCCAGUAAAAGAUCUCUUGGUCAUUUUUCCUUCAAGACAAGAUUCACAAGGAGGUAAAGAGUUAUCUUCUAACGGACUUAGAAGCCCACUUUUAACCAAUCUCCCAAUCCUAUUGAGAUUUAUGUGACCAAGUCUUAAGUGCCAUAAAUAGGCAUUAGAAGAAACUUUUUGUCUUUUAUUCUGAGUUUCAGCUGUUCUGAAUAUUUCAGUAUUUAAGACAAAAUUUGCUCUAGUUGGUCUUAACUUAUAUAAGUUGUCUUCAAGUAUAGCAGAACAAACUAGAAUACCUUUAUAGAAAACGAACGCUUCAUUAAUUUCAAAAGAUAUUCUAUACAUUUGUUCCAAAAUACAAGAGAUAGAUAUUAAAUUUCUUUUCAUUUGAGGUACAUAUAAGACAUUCUUAAGUAUGACAUAUCUAUCUCUAAAAAACAACUUUAAAUCUCCCACUGCUGAAGCUGAGACCAUCUCUCCUGUUCCAACCUUGAGAGUGAUCUCGCCUUCUGAAAGCUUUUUCCAAGAACUAUUUUCCUGAAAUGAGAAGCAAAUAUGGUUAGUGGCUCCUGAAUCUAGUAUCCAGGUAGAAUUUUCAUAUUCCACUAAACAUGUUUCUACAACUAGUAAAUCAUAUUUACCUUGUGUUUCCUUCUCUGCCUUUUUUUCUGCAAGGUAUUUUGGGCAGUUUCUUAACCAGUGCCCGUUUUGGCCACAAUGGUAACACUUACCUUUUUCUGCAGCUUUCUUACCCUUGUUCUGUUUGGGAGUCUUUCCCUUUCCCUUCUUUUUUAUUUGAGCAUUAGGUUUUGAGGGUCCAGCUUUGGUUUUAGAGGACGAUCCUCUUAUAAAUUUUCUUUUUGUGGUAGCAACAUUUGCUUCCACUUGUUUUCCUUUACCCAUAGUUAGGUUUUGGAAUCGCUGGAGUUCAUUCAGAAGGGUUGUCAAGUUAAAUUCUAUCUUGUUCAAAGACGCAUUCGUUUGGAAUGGAAUGAAGCUCUUCGGAAGAGACUCUAAGAUAAAACUAACUUGAUUAACCUCUUCGAUGGGACCACCAUUCACUUCAGCGAUGUUGAAGUGCAUCAUCAUGUCCAGAACAUGUUCUCUAACAGAGGUCCCUUCGCUUCAUACGCUUAGUGUAAAUGUAUUUGACUGCCUCGUGUCUUAAGGACCAUUCUGGUUGCCCAAACAUUCCCCUUAAUGAAUCCAUAAUCUCUUUAGCCGUGGCUAAGGAUUCAUGUUUCUUUGCCAAUACAUCAGACAUGCUGGCAAGAAUGUAAACACGGGCUUUUUCAUUAGCUUUUAUCCAUCGAUCAUAUGCAUCCCGACUAGUUCGGUUAGCAUUAGAGGCAGGGUUUUGAGGACAUUCCUCAGUUAAGACAAAUCUUAAAUCGUCAACCACUAGUAUUGUGUUAAGAUUUGAUUUCCAAGCCGCAUAAUUAUCGCCAUUAAGUUUUUCGGAAGCUAAAAGUUGAACUAUUGAGCUAUUCAUGCUGAAAAACAAACAUAUUCUUUUUAGGAAAAAACUAUAAUCAUAAAAAAUAUCCAAUCUAAUUUAGCAAUUACUAAUAAUGUACCCUUUCAUUAUUUGUAUUUUGCAACAAUAUUUCAAAGGUUUAGAACAACCUUCUCCGAAGGGUAGUUGAUUAUUCCUCCUUUGAACCAAGACAAUCUUGACUAGAUGCUAUCUCAAGAAUAACUCUUUAUUCUUUAUAGCACUUAGUUAUCGCUACUUUAGUCAAGAAUAUACUAACAACUUAGUAAUUCUUGUAAGUGUUACCCACCAUUUUCAGAUUUUAUAGAUUAGAAUCAUUUAUGAAAACUAAUCUAAGAAAUCCUAUCCAGUUUUGGAGUUCGCGGUGUUCCGAAUCCUAUAAUACAACCCUCCGAAGGGAACGUCGCUCCAGGGCAGACAAGCAGGCAUAUUAUAGAAAUCUCACGGUGCGACCUAAUGGAAGAGACCGUGGGAUGUGCUGCCACAAAUCCCUCACCCACUUACUAUGAACUACUUCCCCUAUUCACCUUGAUUUUGAUCCAUGCAAACACUCUCCGAAGGGAGGCCGCUCCUAUGCACGGCACAAAGCCCUGCAUGGACCUCACGGUGUGAACUCUUAGGGACACUAGAGCUAAAAUACAUUAUUUUUCUCUAGUUGAAGUGUUCUAAAAGAAAAAAAUAGGGUAAUCCAAACUUCAAGAUUUAUAUUUAGGCUAACUUAAACAAAUCUUAAGUCUAGAUAAAACAUCCAAGUAUAACCAUUAUACAGGAUUUUAACCUAUGAUGUCUAGGUGAAAAACCAUUUUUAUUACCUCACACCUCUCACGAAUGCUCAUAAAACUAGGUUAACUAGGCUCAAGAACUGAUUACGAUCUCCAGGUAGGAGGUGUUCCGUAAACCGUCAACUUAAGAACCUCCAACCUUAGUCAUCUUAUCUGACUUGUUGACAAGAUUGAACCAGGUGAGCCUUUUGUAACCAGUUUUACAAGAUAUCGACCUAUUUCUAUGAAAAAUGGAAGAUAUGUUUAACCUAAGUGAGCAUGCAUUUAAUCUUUGUUAUUGAUUUUAAAAGUCUAAUUUAUUUUAUAACACUUAUAAAAACUUUUAAACUUAAUCAAUCAUUUUAUCAAUAUAUAAUAUAAAAACAAUCAAUUAAUAUGGAUUUUAAUUUAUUUAACUUUAAUUAAAUCAUAUUUAAUUAAAUUAAAUCAAACAAUAAUUAAUUAAUUUGAUUAAAUCAUAUUUAAUCAAGAAUAACUUAAUUAAUUAAAUAAUUAAUUAAUCAUAUUAAUUAAUUUCCAUAUUAAUCAAUUAACAUGCAUACAAUACAAUAUAACCUUUAUAUCAUACAUUUUAAUGCAUGAACAUGUUAACCUAUGGUGGGAUUUUAAAUCUAUAUGACAUUCAAAAUGCACAUACAAAUUUAAAGUAAUUUAAUCAUACAUCACAUGCAUAAAUAAAAAAAACACCCUAAAAUGGACUGAUUUUUGGCUCCUAAAUUAAGCUAAGUGCUAAAUUAUUACAUAAUUAAUUUGGUGUAGUACAGAACCACUCCCAAAAAUUUCGAACCGGCUAAAAAACCAACCGAAACCGCUUGAACCGGC